rnacentral:tRNA from 1 species
GGGCCGAUGGCGGAGCGGGUACGCAAGAGCUGUGCAAGGCUUUUCAUUCUGGUUCAAUUCCAGAUCGGCCCUCCA